AUCAGCUUGCUAGUCUCCCCUGGAGGCGACACGCUCAACGUGCGGAAAGGCCCUCCUUGGAGGGAAAUCCGCAGCUCCUACCCGGAGUUCAGAGACUCAAUGAGUGUGGGUGUGGCCUAGCCACGCUUAAGAUAGAGCCCGUCCCGGCUGGCAACUGCCGGGAGUCAACGGAACCUGCGGAAGGAUCAUUAAAGAAUACAAGGCUUUCGAGCCCUAUUCUCACCCCUUGUAUAUUAACUUUGUUGCUUUGGCAGGCCUCCGGCUUUGGCUGGGUCGUGUCUGCCAGAGGCCUAACUCUUGAAUCACUGCGGUCUGAGUACUAUAUAAUAGUUAAAACUUUCAACAACGGAUCUCUUGGUUCUGGCAUCGAUGAAGAACGCAGCGAAAUGCGAUAAUUAAUGUGAAUUGCAGACUCAGUGAAUCAUCGAAUCUUUGAACGCACAUUGCGCCCUCUGGUAUUCCGGGGGGCAUGCCUGUUCGAGCGUCAUUACAACCCUCAAGCUCUGCUUGGUGUUGGGCCUGGCCCUGUAGGGCCGGCCUCAAAGUCAGUGGCAGCACCGUCUGACCCUAAGCGUAGUAAUACUCGCCGCUUUUGUGGUUAUGCGUGGGCUGCCAAUCAACCCCCACCAUCAAGGUUGACCUCGGAUCAGGUAGGGAUACCCGCUGAACUUAAGCAUAUCAAUAAGCGGAGGAAAAGAAACCAACAGGGAUUGCCUCAGUAACGGCGAGUGAAGCGGCAACAGCUCAAAUUUGAAAGCUGGCUCCUUUGGGGGCCCGCGUUGUAAUUUGUAGAGGAUGCUUCGGGUGCGGCGCCGGUCUAAGUUCUUUGGAACAAGACGUCAUAGAGGGUGAGAAUCCCGUAUGUGACUGGUUGCCUGU
rnacentral:rRNA from 1 species